UUGAAAGGAAAUAGGGUUUAUUUGAGUGUAAAUAGGAAACAUCUAGAUUGCAUUGCAUUAUUUGCCAGACUAAAAUCUUCUAUGUGGUCUUCUGGAAAGUUUAUAUUAUUUUGGAUUUUUUACUUUUAUUUUUUUUACUGUAGAACUUACAAAGUGAAAGGUUCUUAAAACCUGAAGACCCAGGAGAGACUAACAUCCAAGGAAACUGAGUUUUACAGAUGUACCAGUGCGUUCCCCAAACUUGGCCCUUUCUCAGCCCUGCACUACCUUACUGUUUAUUUCUGUCUCUUUCAUUAUCUCCUCCUAGUCUUUGCAGAUUGUUUGACAUGUAACCUCUAUUAAUAACCUUAGAAUUUUCAGACCCACAGCAUAGCAGCUAUGUAAGAUGAUGAAGUCCCUUCUACACAUUCUGAGUUUGACGGGAAAGUUCACUAUUCGCAAGAGUUAAUAUGGAUGGAAGUUCAAGCUGGGUUCAGAAAUGAAGAUAGUGAGGUGUCAAUGUGUCCAACAUACAGCUUCAGUGCUACAGAUGCACCAAAGAGAGAAAGGAAAACACAACGGAAUUUAAAAACAUGCUUGAGAUCUGCACAGUGAUUCACCAGUUAUUUUUAUACUGGAAACAGAAUUGAUCUGAAAGUUAAGUAUGCCUCAUAGAUCACAGCUGCUCAGUAAACCGAGAAAGAGAAACUGAAAGGAGAAUAUUCAACAGUCACCCAAAACCUCCAUGUUUCUUUGAUGACAUGUGGAACUGAUAACUGGACUGAGAGCAAAGCUGGGAAUGCCUUAGGAUGCAGGAAGUAGAAGAUUCUUACACAGACCAGCUGAGCUAAGGAAGUGAACUUGAAAUAUAAUCCUUGAAAAAAACCAUUAAAUUGCCCUAACAAGAAUACGUAGUGUCCUGAUUUGACUAAAGGUAACUAAACAUUUAUAGUUUCAGGGAUUUAGGACGAAACCAUUAGAACUGUUUUCCCUGUUGACACUGUGACUUGUGAUACUUGCAUGAGACCUCUCGUAAUUUUUGACAUGAAAUCCCUUGACCCAGAAUUAUUACACUUUUUAUUCUGUUCUUUUUAAAGCUCAAAGGCAACAUGCAAUAUAUUCAGGUUUUUUUUUUCCACAAAUGGCAUGUAUGUGUGGUGUGCAUGCCCCAACCAAGCAGCACAGUGUUACUAAUCAGUGUUAGCAAAUAUCAAUACUUAUUAACGACUACAUAAUGGGACACAUUCUUUCAUUGAGCCCCUAUAUAUCUUUAAGAAAUCUUCCUAAAAGGAAGCUUAAAUAU